AUACGGAGGAUGCGAGCGUUAUCCGGAUUUAUUGGGUUUAAAGGGAGCGUAGGCGGGAGCUUAAGUCAGCGGUUAAAUGGUGCGGCUCAACCGUGCCCUGCCGUUGAAACUGGGUUUCUUGAGAGUGCAAGAGGCGGAUGGAAUUCAUGGUGUAGCGGGGAAAUGCUUAGAUAUCAUGAAGAACUCCGAUUGCGAAGGCAGUCCGCUGGGGCACGUCUGACGCUGAUGCUCGAAGGUGCGGGAAUCAAACAGGAUUAGAUACCCUGGUAGUCCGCACGGUAAACGAUGAUUACCCGCUGUCGGCGGCAGACAGUCGGCGGCCAAGCGAAAGCGAUAAGUAAUCCACCUGGGGAGUACGCCGGCAACGGUGAAACUCAAAUGAAUUGGCGGGG
rnacentral:rRNA from 1 species